rnacentral:lncRNA from 1 species
AUCCAUACUCGAUCCGACCUAAUCGGAUUCUUCCUUAACCGAUAUAGGUUCACGUUUCUCUCACGUACCUAUACAACCCUAGGGUUCACCGUCCUAAGGUCUCUUAGGUCCAUCCUAGACUCUCUCUUUACUAGCUCUUAAGGCUCUGAUACCAACCGACUACUGUCACGCCCCGACGCCGCUACCAAUUUGGUCCGGUUCGGGCGCGUCGAACAGACGCCGAACGGACAGCACCUCGCCUGUCCGCCCAAGGCUAAACAACUAGAUCAUGUACAAAUAAGCGCCCAGGAAUGCUUAGAUAACAUACAUGAUCGAACAUAGCGCACACAAGUGCAAUACAUCUAAGAGCAAGAACCACAAGUAAUAUACUAGUGUAUAAAGAGAGAUAGUCUAACUAUUACAUUCACUCAAUAGUUCCAACAUUUGUUUGCGUUACAUUUUUCAUCCACCAAAAUGUAAAUACAUAUUUUUCCUCAAAAUACAUGUAGCUCUCCCAUAUCCAUCCAAACCUCAUCUAGUACACGAGGGUACUCUAAUGCAUAAAGGAAGGCUACCAACUAAACUCACUUAGGGCGCUAUGCCCUUACCGCGGUCCUCGCUCGACUCGCCUCUGUGUGUACCUGUACCCCAAAACCACACGGGGUGAGAACUAUAAAAUAUAGUUCCCAGUGGGUUCGGCCGCCGACGCCGCCGGUUUUCCCACUAGGUCUAAGCUGGCACAGAUAGAGAGAUAGAUAGAUAUACAAAGAUAAACUGCAACUACUCUAUCCUGCCACCAAUGAUAAUAAUGCAUGCAAAAACUACUAUCACGCUAGUAUCAUGUCAUGAGUAUAUAAAGUGCGUAGUAAUGUAAACUGCAAUAUACAUUAUGCCUACUCAAGGUAAUAAUGCAAGUCUACUAUGCAUUUCAUGUUUCUUACCCAAUUCGCUUGGUUAACCCGAAGGUUAAACCCUUGACUCACUCUCAAUCUCAUAGGUGAGGAGAAACUGCACUCGCACACCGAGACCGUCUGCGGGACAACUACGUCUGCCCCUAGUGAAGUACUCCGGAGACUCGUGCCUCGGUGGAGCGACCACCGACAAGCAAAAACAGACUAGUGAGUAUGAUCCAAUCCUCACAAAAGGAUACCCUGUCUACUAGGGUCAAUGUGCCUCUGCUGCACAAUCAUGAUAUAUAAUCAAUGUUGGGACUUCUACUAUCCCUAGGUUCAUAUCAAAUUUACUACGCUAGACUCGAUGCCACUCGUUCGAUCAUUGUAGUAAGUUUUCUGCUAAUUGACAUGCCACUCGUUCAAGUUUAGUGUCUCUACUACACUAGUUCAAUUCCUCUCUACUAGGCUAUGUCCAAGUUCGGCUCUUUAUGCCGCUAUAGGAUUCUAUGCCAUAAGACCCAAUCCUCAUGCUACCCUAGUCUAGGUGUUCAACUCAUAAGUACACUACUAAGAAGCAUGCAAGGAAAAGGAAAUAUACAUUUAUUAGUCCUACGAUGCAAUAUGAUCAACACAUGUGUAACUUAGACAUAAAAAGAAACCCGGAUGUUCCGGAACGACACCCCCCACCUUUUGCGUAUAAGGAGGCUCUAGAAGUGCGCUUCGGCGUCCUUUACGACGAAGCCUCGGUCUUCUUGGUCCCAAUGAUGCUCAAUCGGCCUUAUUUUGCCGAUAGCUCUCGACCCGCUCGACGAAUCAAAAUUCCGACUUCGCCCCCGCGUUUAGGCACCUACCAAUUAGGUUUACAAGGCCUCAAAUGAGAUCAAUCCCAUACUUUACCGAAAAAACCCCAUUUUGGUGCCCUAGGGUUAGCAUCAAGCUUAACCCAUCUCAAAACCCUAGAUUCUAGCUCUAAUCCUUCCAUUCAAGGUACUAGGGAUCCAUUUGAUCCCAUCCAAAGAGCUAAAACCCAAAAACACCAAAUUUCACAAACUAGGGUUAGAAGCUUACCUCUAGGUUAGCUUAAAAGAGAGAAGAGAGGAUGAGGGAGAAGUCCAAAAGCCUUCUUUUGUUGAUCUCCUUCAUCUUCUCCUUCCUUUUCUUCCUUCUUUCCUUCUCUUUCCUUCUUCUUCUUCUUUUCUCCUUCUUCUCUAGAGAGAGAAAACAAGAGAGUGUGAGGGGGAGAGAGAGAGUGAACUGAGGGAGAGUGAGAGGGAGAGAGGGACUAAUAAGCCCUCUAUUGUAACAAUAUCCACCCAAGCCCCUCCACUUUUCACUCUGUGCGCAGCCCUCCCUGGGCGUUCUGCGCGCGGAGGGACUGGUCUCCCCGACUUGGGACCGGUCCCCGAGAGCUUCAGCUCGGGUCGCGCGUUCGGGUACCGGUCUCUCCCAGAGAGACCGGUCCUCGGGAGACCGGUUCCUUCCUGAGAGACCGGUUCCCGAGAGCUGGGAUUUCAGGACUUAGCUAAUUUUUGGCUUUUCGCGCUGGGAUCACGUUCGGGAACCGGUCCCUCACUGCCAGGGACCGGUUGCCUCAAGCAACCCCCGCGACACCAGCCGAUGGGACCGGUCUCUCCCGGCCAGGGACCGGUCCCCGAGAGCAGUUUUGCUCCAGUGCUGAUUUCGCACUAUUUGCUCUCGUGGACUCGUUUCCAAUGCACUUUUGGUGAUUUUAAUAUCUUUGGUCUUUCCAAAGUACACCAACACGACCCUUGGUCGAUUCGGGAUGAAGUCAAAUCCUCAUAUUUCGAGAAUUCACUUCCUCACAUCCUCCCCUCCUAAAAAGGAGUUUCGUCCUCGAAACGAAUUUAUUAACUCAUACCUCAUCGCAUUUCCGUGAAAAGAUGAGGGUAAUGUACUUUCAUCGUCUCCUCGAGUUCCCACGUGGCCUCACGAUCGUCGUGACCGGUCCAACGAAUCUUCACAUAGGGAAUCUCGCGGUUCCUCAAUUUCCGCACCUCUCGAGCAAUGAUCAUCGCCGGGAACUCUUCGUAGCUCAAAUCUUCCUGUAGAUUCGGCGGUUCGUAGUACAUCACGUGCUCGGGGUCGUGGACAUACUUACGAAGGUUAGAAACAUGGAAUACGUUAUGCACCCCUGCGAGCUUCGGCGGUAAUGCAAGUCGGUAUGCUACCGCUCCAACACGUUCUAACACUUCGAAUGGCCCGAUAUAUCGGGGACUUAGCUUUCCCCGCACUCCGAAGCGUUUCACACCUCUCAUAGGUGAAACCUUCAAGAAAACGCGGUCGCCUACCGCGAAUUCCAAGUCUCUACGGCGUUUGUCCGAAUAGCUCUUUUGUCUUGACUGUGCCGUAAGUAACCUCUCGCGAGCAAGACGGACCUUCUCUUCCGCCUCCCGCAAUACGUCUGGGCCCAAUGCCGCAGGCUCACCUACAUCACUCCAACAUACAGGAGAUCGGCACUUCCGUCCGUAUAGGACCUCAAACGGCGCCAUCCUGAUGCUAGCUUGAUAACUGUUGUUGUAGGCGAACUCGGCCAUCCUCAAAUGGUCUGCCCAACCACCCUUGUAGUCAAUGACACACGCCCGCAGCAUAUCCUCCAGAAUCUGUAUAGUCCUCUCUGACUGCCCAUCUGUCUGAGGAUGAAAAGCGGUACUGAAAUCGAGCCGUGUGCCAAGUGCUUUCUGCAGGCUUUUCCAAAAGUGCGAAGUAAAACGGGGGUCUCGAUCUGACACGAUCGACUUCGGAACCCCGUGCAACCUCACAACUUCAUCCAAGUAUACCUGCGCUAACUUGUCGCCCGACCAAGUAGUGUGAAUCGGUAGAAAGUGUGCCGACUUGGUCAUACGGUCCACAAUCACCCAGAUCGCGUCAUGGCCACCCGUCGAACAGGGCAAUUCGACCACGAAGUCCAUCGCGAUAUUCUCCCAUUUCCAAACGGGGAUAGGUAGACUUUGAAGUUUUCCCGCUGGAAAUCGGCGCUCAGCCUUCACUUGCUGGCAUACCAAGCACUGCGCCACGUAGCGCCCAAUGUCAGCUUUCAUGCCCGGCCACCAGUACUGCAUCUUCAGAUCACGGUACAUCUUGGUGCCGCCCGGGUGAAUACUAUAAGGAGUCCGAUGUGCUUCUUGUAAGAUCAACUUCCGGACCUCCUCGUUUUCCGGUACGCACCAUCGGUUCCGAAACCGAAGCGCACCCUCAGCGUCUACACUAAAAUCACCGCCGUGUCCACUCUCGAUGUCCCGCCGCACCUUUUGAAGAUUGGGGUCUGCAGAUUGCAAGCCCUUAAUCUGCUCCAACAAGGUCGGUUGGACAACGAGAGCCAUAAGCAUAGGCGGGGUUUCCGGAGCUACCACCUCGAGAUUUAGUCGCUCCAUCUCUCUCCACAGUGGCUCCUGGCGUGUGACCAACAUAGCAAGAUUUUCCACUGACUUCCUGCUAAGCGCGUCAGCCACCACGUUUGCUUUUCCGGGGUGGUAUAGGAUGGUAACAUCGAAAUCCUUUAGCAACUCUAACCACCGCCGCUGCCGCAUGUUGAGCUCCUUCUGCGUGAAAAGGUAUUUCAGACUUUUGUGGUCCGUAUAUAUUUCGCAUCGCGCGCCAUACAAGUAGUGCCUCCAUAACUUGAGAGCAAACACUACCGCGGCCAACUCUAGGUCGUGGACAGGGAAAUUCUUCUCAUAGUUGUUUAACUGACGGGACGCAUAAGCGAUCACCUUCCCGCCCUGCAUCAGAACACACCCUAAGCCCGAUUGUGACGCGUCGCUAUACACCACAAAGUCUUCGUCUUGCACCGGUAAGGCGAGCACCGGAGUCGAAGUUAAUCUAUCCUUCAACUCUUGAAAACUCCGGUCGCACUCGUCAUUCCAAUUGAACUUGGUGCCUUUCCGAGUCAGACGAGUAAGUGGACCCACGAUCUUCGAGAAUCCCUCUACGAACCGUCUAUAAUAACCCGCUAAACCCACGAAGCUUCGAACUUCCGUGACGUUAGUUGGGCAAGGCCAAUCCUUGAUCGCCUCCACUUUUCUCUGGUCAACAGAUACUCCGCCCUCGGAAAUGACAUGCCCAAGAAAUGUAACCUCUCGGAGCCAAAAGUCGCAUUUCUUAAACUUAGCGUAUAACUUCUCUUCCCGGAGGGUUUGAAGCACAAUCCUCAAAUGCUCGGCAUAUUCCUCAUCGCUGCGCGAGUAGACCAAGAUGUCAUCUAUGAAGACCACGACAAAUCGGUCCAAGUACUCCUUGAAGACACGGUUCAUUAGGUCCAUGAACGCUGCCGGGGCAUUAGUGAGCCCAAAUGGCAUGACCGUGAACUCAUAGUGUCCAUACCGCAUGCGAAACGCGGUCUUUUGAACGUCUUCCAGCUUAAUCUUGAGUUGAUGAUAACCGGACUGUAGGUCAAUCUUCGAAUAAACCCGGGACCCUUGUAAUUGAUCAAACAAAUCGUCAAUCCUCGGCAACGGGUACUUAUUCUUGAUCGUGACCUUAUUCAACUCGCGAUAAUCUACGCAGAGUCGGAACGAAACGUCCUUCUUUCGCACGAAUAGAACCGGGGCUCCCCACGGCGAUACACUUGGCCGUAUAAACCCUUUAUCAAGGAGAUCCAAUAACUGAGCCCGCAAUUCCUUCAAUUCCGCUGGCGCCAUCCGAUACGGAGCCUUCGAGAUAGGCGCGGUUCCUGGAACCAAGUCUAUCACGAACUCGAUUUUCCGAUCUGGCGGCAUUCCCGGUAACUCCGCGGGAAAUACAUCCGGAAAUUCCCGAACCACAGACAGCUCCUCGAGUGUAGGAGUCGUCCUGUCGACUUCUACAACGGUCGCCAAGUAGGCCACACAACCGCUGUUAACCAGCUUCCUUGCCCUCGUCGCUGUCACUAUAGCGGCGAAGCGCGAGCUCCUACAGGCCCAAUAGGUGAAUUCCUCUUGGCCCGGCUCUCGAAACGUUAUUACUUUACUUCUGCAGUGUAUAGUCGCAUAGUACUUCGAGAGCCAAUCCAUUCCUAGAAUGACGUCGAAGUCUUUCAACUUCUUGAACACUAGCAUACGAAUGGGCAUUAUCCAGGCGCCCAACCGCACUGGACAAGACGAACACUCCAUCCGGACUAGAAAGUCACGUCCGGGGCCCGACACCCUCCAAGUGCUUUUACUCUCUUGUAGUUUUAUGUCAUGCAUGCGUGCAAAUGACCUACUGAUGAACGAAUGCGUAGCACCUGUAUCAAACAUGGCUCUGGAGCGAACUCCGUCAAUUAAAACCAUACCUGCGAGUACAUGGCGAUCCUCCGCUUCAGCAGGUUCCUCGGCUUGAGUUUGGGCGGCGAACACCCGCCCGCUCGGAGCCGAUCUCGUCGCCUCGGCUUGGCGCGGUACCAUCGCACGUCCAGCCGAUGACGCAGCAGGUGGAACUCCUCCAUAAUGCGCAGGAGUCGCGGGAGCCGACGCGACCGAAGGGGCAGGUGAAGCCCUCAUUGGACAGUGGCGGCUAAUAUGGCCCGCCUGUCCACACGUGAAGCACUUCCCUUCCUGUUGAUCACACGUCCUUGGCUCGUGAUUCCCACCACAAAUCGUGCAUCGCUGCGGUCCGCGGCCUUUAGAUUGCGUUCGGUGGUACUUCGGGGGCUUCCUCGACUUGGUCUGAGCUCCCGAGCUACUCUGGGCCCGCUUCUUGCCACCGUCCUUCUCGGACGCUUCUCGCUCCUCCCGGAUGUGAGCGUUUCCUUGCUCCGCCCACAGCGCUCUGUCGAGCACCUCCUCGAAGGUAGUGAGCUUCAAGAUGUGCACCGCCCGGUAUAUGUCAGCCCGGAGCCCUCGCUCGAACCAGUCGGCUCGAUCCCUGUCAUCCCGCACUACGUCGGGGACGCAGUCAAUGAUGUGAGAGAACUCCCUCUCAUAUUCUGCUACCGUGCGGCCACCUUGCUUCAAUUUUCGAAACUGCUCCUGGAGUUUCUUCUUCUCACUAUCGGGGAAGUAAUUGACAUAGAACAAUCCCCGAAACUCCUGCCACGUCAACGGCGGAAGGUCGGAAGCUCGGUUUCUCUUGAUUCGCUUCCACCAGACCUUCACCGUCCGCUCCAAACAAUGAGUGGCGAGGUAGACCUUGUCCCUCUCUAAGGUGUAGAGGUCCUCGAAUAAGGUCUCCAUUGAGUCCACCCACGACUCAACCAUCCACGGCUCGACCUUCUCUCCCUCGAAGGUCGGUGGAUUGAACCUUCGAAACUUCUCGAGAGCCGCAAGUACGCGCUCCCUCUCCGCCUCCAACGCCAUCGCAUCGGGUGUCGUAGAACACGACGCCGCCGGAGGAACGCUUGCCGGCGGAGGACGUGCCGCCACCGGAACUGCCGCAAUGCCCUCGCCCUCAGCCGCCGUUGGCGCACGAGCUGGAGGUGGGGGCGGACCACGGCCCUCAGUCGCAGCUGCAGUUGCUGCCGGAAAAUGCCGCUCCAUAAGCCCCUGGAGCUGCUCGAACCGACUCUCUUGGCGCUGCACAAUGCCGGUUAAUGCCGACACUUGCGCCUGUAACUCCUGUACUUCACUAGAUCCGGCUUCCUCGGGCACCUCAGAAGGUGGUGUCGGAGCGGACCUGCGCACGUAGCGUCUUGGGGACAUUAUCUCCUGCAACGCAACAAUUGGGUUAGCCACUUAACCCACUUAACUCCAUCGCAUACACUAUAUUACGUGACUCAACUCCGCCCUCAGCGGAGGUACACUAGUGUAUUAGUCCUAACUCCUAGCGUCGUGUUGUCGGCCGCCAACACAACUCCUCGAGCUCGGAACCAACACCGCUCGGAUCUUUCUCUAGCUACACUAGAGAUCCAUACUCGAUCCGACCUAAUCGGAUUCUUCCUUAACCGAUAUAGGUUCACGUUUCUCUCACGUACCUAUACAACCCUAGGGUUCACCGUCCUAAGGUCUCUUAGGUCCAUCCUAGACUCUCUCUUUACUUGCUCUAAAUGGCUCUGAUACCAACGCUUGUCACGCCCCACCCCGAAUCCACAACCAAUUUGGCACGUACCAAUUGGCACAUACCUACCAAUUUGGCACCGUCCUAAUCGGAUUCUUCCUCAACCGAUAUAGGUUUACGUCUCUCUCACGUACCUACACAACCCUAGGGUUCAC